ensembl:snRNA U6 U6 spliceosomal RNA
GUCCUCACUUCAGCAGCACAUUUACUAAAAUUGAAGCAAUACAGAGAAAAUUAGCAUGGACCCUGUGCAAGGAUGACACACAAAUUCAUGAAGCAUUCCAUAUUUUU